rnacentral:lncRNA from 1 species
UUGUUGAAAAGCAAUCCCAAAGAUUCCAUCUGGUUUUUUUUAUCCUUUCUUUAAUAGGCAGAGUACAAGCUGAUUUCCACAUUUUUGCAAAAAGAAUUCUGACUGCAGGCAGAUUGGAGGGAGACCAUUUCCUGGUGUUCUAUUAGGUCACUAACACAGAUCACAGAUCAACCCAGAAUAUGAAUGAUGUAAUGAGAGUUUCCUGGAAGGUAAUCCUAGAGGACACAGGAU